rnacentral:rRNA from 1 species
UGGGGAAUUUUGGACAAUGGGCGAAAGCCUGAUCCAGCAAUGCCGCGUGUGUGAAGAAGGCCUUCGGGUUGUAAAGCACUUUUGUCCGGAAAGAAAUCCUUGGCUCUAAUACAGUCGGGGGAUGACGGUACCGGAAGAAUAAGCACCGGCUAACUACGUGCCAGCAGCCGCGGUAAUACGUAGGGUGCAAGCGUUAAUCGGAAUUACUGGGCGUAAAGCGUGCGCAGGCGGUUUGCUAAGACCGAUGUGAAAUCCCGGGCUCAACCUGGGAACUGCAUUGGUGACUGGCAGGCUAGAGUAUGGCAGAGGGGGGUAGAAUUCCACGUGUAGCAGUGAAAUGCGUAGAGAUGUGGAGGAAUACCGAUGGCGAAGGCAGCCCCCUGGGCCAAUACUGACGCUCAUGCACGAAAGCGUGGGGAGCAAACAGGAUUAGAUACCCUGGUAGUCCACGCCCUAAACGAUGUCAACUAGUUGUUGGGGAUUCAUUUCCUUAGUAACGUAGCUAACGCGUGAAGUUGACCGCCUGGGGAGUACGGUCGCAAGAUUAAAACUCAAAGGAAUUGAC